CUCUCUUUUCUUGUUCUUUUCUUUUUUUGAGGUCAAAUGUCUAGAAAGACUGAGGUCCAAGUUUCCCUGAUGAGACCGGGGCUGGCAAGGAGAGGAGCACAGAGUGGACUAAGCCUCUUCUACCUGGGUUCAGGAGUCUGCCUUGGGGGAAUUCUGACCACAGCUUUGGAGGGGGUGCACAAGUGCUUGUGAUUAUGAGCAUGCCCUUGGGGCUUAAUGGAGCAAGCCAGGAGCCAACAGGCACAGUAGGAUCCCUGAGGAGAGUUCUCUUGCUAUUUUAAUCUAGGUGUGGAAACUCAUUCACAGCCUCAGUUUCCCCAUCUGCAGAAGGACAGACCAUGCCGGGCAAGCAGGCUUUGCACCACACGGGAUAUUUCUAGCAUGGAGAAGGCGUGGCCCUGUCUCAUCACCCACUGCUCUGGUUAUGGCUGUCCUUUCCAGCCACCAGCUCUGUCUCAUCUUGCCUCACCCUGUUCUGCUACAUCAUAAUUGCUUCAAAAUUCUAUAUGUUAAUGUCUGUCCCGUGAUGGGUGAGGAAUAGAGUGUCAGUGUGAGAUAGAAGUCUACCUGAAGGAGCUAUAGAAAUGGGAGGCAAGCAGCUGGGCUGCCAGAGAAGGAUUUUGGGGGAAAAGGUGCAGAUUGCCUUGGUGGCCUUGCGUCACCAGAGAGUCACUGAUCUUUGGAGAAAGAGGCAAGGUUGAGACAGGUACAUCUUGGAACCACAAAAUCCCAGAGGCGUAGUAAAGACCAGCCUCUUCAGUCCAGAGGACAGCACAAGGCAGGGUAGCAGACAGCCUGGGGCCUCACCCUGCUCCUUUCCCAGUCUCCUAGGUAACACUCAGAGAUCACUGUUCUCACUCUUGGGGUAUACUACACACUACCCAUGCCUCAAGCGUCUCUGUGUAGCCCGUUCCACAGAUGGAGAAGGUGAGAUCAGGUAUGCCUGUAAAUGUGGCUGGAAUCUUCUACUCAGAGCAAGGCAGGGUAAGCACAGGUGGCAGAUUCUUGUUUUCUCUUGUCUUCAUGCCUCAGGAGAGUGGAACCCACCUCUCUCCCUCUUCCUCUCCGCCCCCCCCCCCUUGGGUGCCCUUGUCUCACUUUGGGGCAUGAAGUCUUGGCUUUAUUUAGUAUUUCCUCCCUCCCAGCCAAGAGCCCAAGUGUAUCUUGUGUGCCCAUCCAUAUCAGAGGGCAUCAAGAGGAGGGUCUCAGCCCGUACCCAGUGUGCCACAAAGGAGAAGCUCUCUGCUGACUUCCAUCUUAAUUCUGAGAGCUACCUGUCAAGGUCACCCGUCCGCAGCCUGGUCAUAGAGGAAACUCUAUCUACAGGGUCCUUCAGCUACAGGAACUAGAGGGGGCCACAGAGGACAAUCCUUAAUUGUAUCCACAGUGGUGAUAACCACACUUAGCUGUGUUGACAUCACUACGGUGGUGCUAACCACACACUUUAUGAACUUUGUCUCACUGAACCUCCAUGGCAGCCAUGGACAGCUGUCUUUGCCAUCAGUAGACAUGGAACCCGACACCCAAGUUCAUCUACUCACCAUGGCUUACAGGGUUCUUCUCUUGGAAGACCAGAGACCUGACCGGAGAAGUCUGAGUCUGCUGCUGGCUCCUCUGCAGGCCUCUUGGCCACAUCUUCAUAAUUCAUACUCCUGGCCUGACUACCAUUCUCACAUCAUGGUCUUGCCUCACGCCAAGAAGAGUGCCAUCCUGGUCCCUGAUCCUUGUGCAGAUUCAUCCCAAGUGGGUCUUCCUUACCACUGUGGCCUGAAUAGCUUAGUCCUGGAAACCUGACUGGAAGGACAAAGAAAUGAAGAAAGGACAGACACAUGUAUAGAGAAGCUGGGAUCAGGAGGGCCAUGCUUGCUCUGAUGGACCAGUACCAGCUACUCAACACCCCGGACCAUCAGUGUGUCUAUUAUGUAUAGCAGGAGGAGCGGUAUUUCAUCUGUUUCUUCAGCUUGGGUCACACGCAUGUGUUUGUGUAUGAGCAUUAUAUGUGUGUGUGUGUGUGUGUGUGUAUGCAUGCACACACUUGUGAGUGUGCAUAUGGAGGCUUGAACAUCUGGGUUUAAACUAGACUCCAGUGCUUAUAAACUGUGUAUCUUUCCUCCA